UUCGAAAUUCAUCCCCUAAUUCCACGUUGAAACCGUUCCCCUCUAUCCCACAAAUCUCUCCCAUAUCCCCAACCCCCUCUCCACUACAUUAAAUCCUAUAUCAGUUAUUCUUUUUCUUCACCUAUCGUAUCUGCAAGCAAGAAAGCAAGAACCAUUCUUCAACUUCUAUUCAAGAAACCACAUCCGGAGGAACCUCUUUGUUCACCCAACACUAUUAUCAUCCCAAUUCAACUUCAGGCAGAAGGUUGAGCGGCGACGAGGACGUGGUGGUGUUGGGCAAGUGAAUUUAAGAUUUUAAUGUUGUCCUUGAACCUUGAGUGUCGUUAUGUCUUCACACAUGACGUCACUCUUUCUCUUGGUCGUUUCCGCUGUGACUUUUCGUUUAUUCAUGUUUUAUUUGGGUCGACAACUUUAAUUGUUAGGAUAAUGGAUUUUCCGAAUUUCUUGUUGGAUAAUAUUAAACUCUUGGUUAUUUAAUUGGAUAUUAAUAGUUGGUCCAACUUGUGUUGAAAUCCUAAUCUUUUCCGUCUGUUUAUAAAAUUCUUUUAAUCACAAUCGCCCGUAUUUAUUAACCCU